AAUCACCCCAGUAACCAAACCUGAGUUGCCAAAGAAACCAACUCCUGGCCUUACACGAACCGCGAACCAUGAGACUUCUGGAGGAAGACCCAUGGCUGAGAGCCCUGAUGCGGGGAAGAAAAUCCCAACCCCUGCUCCCCGGCCUUUGCUGCCGAAGAAAUCAGCCUCCCCAGAUGCCCCACCGUACCCUUCGGUUCCACCAAAACUGGUUUCUGUUCCUCCCCGACUCUCAGUAACAUCACAAGCCAAAGCAUUCAGGUUACCUGGAGAAGGGCCGCCAUCCAACCCCCCAGUUCCAGCUCCACAGAGCAAAGCCCUGGGAGACAUCGACCUCAUCAGCUUUGACGAUGACGUAUUGCCCACCUCCGGGAGCCCAGCUGAAGAACCCAUUGGUUCUGAGAUGGUUCUAGAUCCCUUUCAGCUCCCCACAAAAACAGAAGCAACAAAAGAAAGAGCGGUUCAGCCGGUGCCCACCAGGAAGCCUACUGUAAUAAGAAUCCCAGCCAAACCAGGAAAAUGUUUACACGAGGAACCACAAAGCCCACCUCCUCUUCCUGCCGAAAAGCCAGUUGGAAAUACGUACAGUGUAGCGUCUGGAAGGCUCAGUAACUCUGACAGAACUAGAAACCCAGACCUGGAGCAAGCCAGUGAAUCAGGAAGCUUGGUACAAGGACCCCCCAGGUUGCCACCA
rnacentral:lncRNA from 1 species